GUCUACAGCCAUACCACCCUGAACACGCCCGAUCUCGGAAACUAAGCAGGGUUGGGCCUGGUUAGGACUUGGAUGGGAGAGGCGAAGGGAAGAUAGAGAGGUAAAGAGAAAGAUAGAUAACUGCAGACC
ensembl:rRNA 5S_rRNA 5S ribosomal RNA